GUGUUCUUCCUUUUUUCGUCUUCGAUUGUUUGAUCUGGAAGUUGUGCUCUGUGUGUGUGUCAAGGCUUGCUGGCUGUCGCCGCUGUCUGAUGGCGUGUUUGCAUGGGGAGGAAGAAGGGAGAAUGUUUUGCUCGCUGUGCUAUUGUUAAGAAAGGGCCAAUAAAACGAAGUCCCAAUUUCCCUGUCUAAUUUUUGCAAGCCCCAAAAUAUAAGUGGGGAUGCAGAUAUAGGAGGUUCCAAAUGCAGCGCAUGUUUUGUUGUUUUCACGGGCGGGAACUACCCUGAAGUCUUGCCAGGGGAAAUCAGUCUCGUUGAAUUAAAAAAAAAACGGCAGAAAAAAACCAGACUUCGUGUUUUUUAUGACGUUUUCUUUUCAUUGUUUUGCUCAGUGUGAUCCCUUUUUGAUCAGUUCAUCAUUGUUUAUCUCAGUCUUAUCUAUGAACUUUAGCUCAGUCUUAUCAGUUACCUUCUAUCAGUUUUUGUCUUUUGUUUAUCUCAGUCUUAUCUAUGAACUUUAGCUCAGUCUUAUCAGUUACCUUCUCUCAGUUUUUGUCUUUCUUUUAGUUCAGUCUUAACUUUCAAGUAGUCAUGUGGCUAUCAUUUGCAGAUCAGUUUUAUCACUGUUUAGCUUAGUAUUAUCUAUCAUGCAUAUGCUCUAUGGUUGCACGCUCUUAGAAGCUGUAUUUGCUUGUUCUUAAUUUGUACAGUUAAGCCUAUUUUGAAUUUUCAGAAAUCUGCUAGUUGUAGGUAUCAAGUUCAGAUUUAUGGGCCAGAUUUUUUCUACACUAAGGGCUAUGGGUAUUUCUGUACUGCUAAUACCAGCGAACAUUUUUUGUGCAGAUCAAGACAACUUGUGUGUGCUACAUGCUUGAUCAAGACAGAUGCAGAGAGGCAGUGAAAAGGAGAAGGGGGUGCGGGGUGACAUAAUGUGUAGAGUGUAUAUGAGAUCCAAAGAUCCCCACCUCGUUUUUCCUGUGUGCUAGCAGACGUUGAUGGAUGUUGGUGUCUAUGCGUGAGGAGGAAGAAGAGAGGAUGUUGUGGAUGCAGAUGAUAGUACGUGUCAAGAAAUGGAAGGCCGAGUUCUCCUAUUCGUGUUUAAGGCCCACAAAUAUUUAGCUGUGGCCCAGGUCGGCUACUUUCAGUCCCAUGUUUUCAUUUUUACAUGAUGCGAAAAUAGAGGCUGAAUUGAUUGGGAGUGUGAGUCGUGAAUGAAAAAACCAGGAAAAA